rnacentral:rRNA from 1 species
GUGUCAGCCGCCGCGGUAAUACGAAGGGGGCUAGCGUUGUUCGGAAUUACUGGGCGUAAAGCGUAUGUAGGCGGAUCGUUAAGUCGGGGGUGAAAUCCCGAGGCUCAACCUCGGAACUGCCUUCGAUACUGGCGAUCUUGAGUCCGGGAGAGGUGAGUGGAACUGCGAGUGUAGAGGUGAAAUUCGUAGAUAUUCGCAAGAACACCAGUGGCGAAGGCGGCUCACUGGCCCGGUACUGACGCUGAAAUACGAAAGCGUGGGGAGCAAACAGGAUUAGAUACCCGAGUAGUCC